rnacentral:lncRNA from 1 species
UUUAAUGUUAUUUUUUUAAUCAUAAUAAAAAAAUGAUAACAAAGAAAGAUUGGGCCAGAGGGGUGCAUAGCCAGGACGGGUGGUGUGAGGCCCAAAAUUAAAACUAGACCAGAUCUGGGGCGCAGGUCAGAGUUGAUGCCGGGUUGGGCUUGGCCCACCCGUAUCUAACUCACUCCAAACAGACAAAAAAGAAUCACGAGUUACAUGGAACCCUAAUGAUCUUCUAAUUCUGAUGGUUAUUUCUUGUUAUCUCUCUCUCAGUAAAGCUAUUCUUUAGGGGGAAAACAAUGAUGUUUUAAAAAAUCAAACGCAAUAAAAAUCAAAGUUUCCACCCGUAUCUAACUCACUCCAAACAGACAAAAAAGAAUCACGAGUUACAUGGACCCCUAAUGAUCUUCUAAUUCUGAUGGUCGCUUCUCGUUAUCUCUCUCUCAGUAAAGCUAUUCUUUGGGGAAAAAACAAUGAUGUUUUAAAAAAUCAAACCCAAUAAAAACAAAGUUUCCAGUCGAAACCCCAUUCGAGAUCAAACUGCAAACCACGAAUCGAACAAAAUCACAGCCAUAAUCAUGUUUGAAAUCAAGAUGAAAUCGAAACCUUACUCACCACUAAAACCUCAUUCACGAAAUAGCAAGCACACAGAAUGCAUCAAUGGUGGUUUAAAUAAAAGCAAGCAUCACAGACAAAUGAAAUCAAAUAGAAACAUAGCUAAAACCCUUAACCCACACAUCACAUACCCCUUUUCAUUAAAGUGUUAUUUUGUUAGAGGUAAAAUGGAUUAAGGAAAAGCAAGCGAAAGAAAAGGAAACAAUGAAAUUAAUAGUCCAAAAAGCUCGAUACUGUGUGAAAUUGAUAAGUAAUGUCGCUUCUUUUUCUUCUUUGAGUCGAGUUUGAUUGUUGUCUUCUUCUUAUUUUCAUCAGUGUAUGGUGUUACUGCAGUGAAACUUGAGCUUCGAAAAUGGAAG